UACGUAGGGUGCGAGCGUUAAUCGGAAUUACUGGGCGUAAAGCGCGCGUAGGCGGGUCAGCAAGUCCGCUGUGAAAGCCCGAGGCUUAACCUCGGCGGGUCGGUGGAUACUGUUGGUCUUGAAGGUGCUAGGGGGAGAUGGAAUGACCGGUGUAGCGGUGAAAUGCGUAGAUAUCUGGAGGAACACCGGUGGCGAAGGCGGCAUCCUGGACCGGCAUUGACGCUGAGGCGCGAAAGCCAGGGGAGCAAACGGG
rnacentral:rRNA from 1 species